rnacentral:sRNA from 1 species
UCUAGAAAGAAGACUUUCUUUUGGCCACCAUACUGAUUCAUCCCGGACAACGGGAUCCUAACAGCUACAUUACAAGAAACUAACAGAACAUUCUAGAGGUGGCUCACAGUACUUUCACACUCUGUUGGUGAGAACCAACCAACUGGUUACACCUGGACACAAACAGAACUAGGAAAUAAGUUUGUGAUUGGACAGUUGCCUCCCAACAAGAUUCAUGCACACAAAUGUUGGAACACAAACCAUGGGGGCGUCGACCAGCAUUCUCAAAGGUACCCCCAGACCUGUCCCUUACAAAUGGCGCCCAAAGCGGGGCUGUUUGGAGGUCUUCUGGAGGAGAACGUCGUCCCCUGUGAAUAGGCAGGCCUGUCUUCCUUGUUUGUCGGAGCCUGUGCUCCCCCUCGGAGCUUUUGCUUCCCCCAGAGCUUUUGCUCCCUGCUCAGAGCCUUUGCUCCCAUGCUUUUGGCAACCAUGGACUGCCCGACCUUGGUUCAGAGGCUUGGUGUGUGUUUC